rnacentral:rRNA from 1 species
UUGGGGUGGCUCGAGUGGCGAACGGGUGAGUAACACGUGAGUAACCUGCCCUUGACUUUGGGAUAACUUCAGGAAACUGGGGCUAAUACCGGAUAGGAGCUCCUGCUGCAUGGUGGGGGUUGGAAAGUUUCGGCGGUUGGGGAUGGACUCGCGGCUUAUCAGCUUGUUGGUGGGGUAGUGGCUUACCAAGGCUUUGACGGGUAGCCGGCCUGAGAGGGUGACCGGCCACAUUGGGACUGAGAUACGGCCCAG